rnacentral:lncRNA from 1 species
GCUAACUUAUAUAUAUUAAUUGAGAAAGAAUAAAAUAUUUUUUUUUUAAAAAAGUAAUUACUUCUAAAAUAAUUGAUAUUUAUGCUAUUUAUUUAUACUAUUUACAAAGACGUUGGCCCAAGGCCAGGCCUAAAUUGGGUAAAGAAAACAAAAGACAAAACCUAUUUCUAAACAAGAAAAAUGCAAAAAUUUAGAAACAAUUACGAAAGUAAACCAACAAGGUCCCGCAAUACACGUGUCACCCUCGUCGGAAUCUUUACCGGAGUUUGACUGAGCUGCCGGAGCUAAGGACCAAGAAGCUUCUGAAGACAUCUCCAGCUAAGUGAUGUUUCCUCUUCCUUUGUCCGUAAAUAUUUUUUAUUUUUGUAAAAGUCUUUUCUCUUUUUGAAAAUCAAGCUUUUGUGGGAUUUUGAAUUAAAAGGAUAAAUAAGUUGCCAGAUUAAGUGAGGUCGUUCAAAUUUUAAAAAUUAGGUGAAACAAAUAAUUUUUUUUUAAUUUUUUUAAAAUAUUUUUGCUCCAAUAACUUUGCACAGUUAUCGAAUAAUUUUGUAAAGUUAUCGAAUAACUUUGUAAAGUUAUUGAAUAACUUUGCAUAGUUGUUGAACAGCUUACAUUAACAAAAGAUUUAGUGUAUAUUUUCUAUUUCUAUAAAUUCUUUUAAACUUUAAGAUUUUUAUAUAAUGACAUAUCAUAAAUUUAUUAUUGAUUUUUAUAACUUCGUAAAGCAUGAUGUAAUUUACUAGUUAGUUAUUAAAUUUACUAAAAUAAAUUCAAAACUAUAUUUUAGAGUUUAUAGUUAUUCGAUAAUUUUAAUAAUUAUUAAGAUAAUUAAUAUAAUUAUUUAAGUAAUUCUAUUUUCUUUAGUUUAAUAAUAUUGUGAACUUAUCCGUUUUUGUUUUUAAUUAAAGACUUGAGGGGUCUAUGUCCUCAUAUUUCUCGGGUCUUUUGGUAGAAACACUCAUGCAACCUAAAAAAUCUUACAGGCGUCGUGAUUCUGAUCCAAAUUGAAGUCUUCUUCAAAAUUGAUAAUCGUCGAUGCUAUUGAUUGUUGCCUUCACAGGUACACCUACUGAUAAAUUGUAGAUUUAGGAUCUAGAAACCUUUAUUUGUUGUUUCGUAGCAAUAUCCAUAGAGUUUUUGAGUUCUUUUUAGAGGGAUGAACCUCCAUCGAAAUUAACACCAAAAGAAAACUCUAAUCCCUUGUGAAUAUGCCAUGAAGUGACCCGUAGCUGCUGAGAAAGUCUUUCCACCAAAUGAAAUCAUUUGUGAAGUGGCUUUGAUUUUGUGUGAUUUUUUAUGUGUUGUAUCUACUGAAAUUGUAUCGCAUCUCUCUUCUACUUCUGUGGAAUUUCCUUUUGUUAAUAAAGAUCUCAUUCCCUAUUUUUUGUAACUCUCGAACACGGGCUCUUACUCUUAUUUGCUAACAGUAUUUAUUGAGCUUUGUAUGGUAGUUCCUUAUUAUUAGUAUAUGUGAUUGUAUCUGCACAUGCAAAAUAAGCAAUACAGUUAGUUAAAAAAUCUGGGAGUUGGUUCCCUUCUGUAUAAUUGUGUCUGAUUAGGACCUCCCCAUGAUUCUCCAUUCUCGAAUCAAUUCAACUCCUAUGAUUAUUGUCCAUUGGCAGUCUCAAAUUUCAUUAUUCACUUUCUGCAAAAUCAGUUCAGUCUCCAAAUAAGUGGAAAAAUUUUAUUUCUAACAAAAAAAUCCAAGCCCUCUUGGAUAGCCAAAGAUUCAGCUUUCAAGCAAGUAGUAUUAGGAAUGCUCUUAGCUUCUGCAUAUAUUAAAUCUCCAUGACAAUCUCUUACACAAAAAGCCACAAAGCUGAAACCUGUUCUUUCUCUAACAGAAGCGUCAGCAUUACAUUUGAAUGAUCCACUUGGAGGUAAUUCCCAUCUCACAAUCUAACAACCACUUCUCCCACUAUUCUUUUGAUUCUCCAAUUUAUCAAUCAAUGAUGGCCAAUUACUAGGGAAUUUUGGUUUGAAGGAAAUCUUACUUUUGCAAAAAAGUAAGGAUUUUGAUUUAUAUCAUGAACUACCCUAUGUUUGGACAUAGUCCCUCUGCGAAGAAUGUUAUUCCUCCUCUUCCAUAGUUGUCACACAAUAAAAGCUGGGAUUGCCAACAAAAGUGGUUGAUUCUAGGAAAACUUUCAGCUUUCCACCACAUAAUAAUUACUUGAUUAACUUGAAUGAAAUUUCCCUGAAUGCCUACUGCAUCUGAAUACAACCUCCCUAUGCUAUUGGCAAAUUCUCCAGUGAGAAAUAAGUCAUCUUUUCCACUUGAGGAUUAUCACAAUAUCUAGACCUAGAGAUCGUAUAAACACUAUUUCUAGCCAAUAUCUCAUCCACCGAUAGUUUUUGCAUCUGCAUUCUCCACAUAAAAAUGAGAUUUUGAAAGACAUACGUGUCAUCGACAUCUGUUUGAAAAUCCAUUGCUCCUCCUCCUUAUGUCUUAGAUAUUCCCAAGUACUUUUAACUAAGAAUUUACUAUUGCUUGUAAGUAGCCACCAUGUUUUGUCCUUUACUUUUGAUUUCACUCUUUCAGAAUAAUCCUCAAGAAUGUAAUUAACCAGGUUUAUUGAUAACUGUCGCUUCAAAAUAACUUCAUUCCAUUUGCCAGCUUAAAAAAAAUAUUCUUCACCUCUACAGUGUGAAUGAUCAGAUCUGUUGGUAUAUGCUGAUAUGAAGAACCCAACUCGGUCCAAUUAUCAUACCAAAAACUAGUUGUGCCAUUCUCGGGAUCCCAUCAGAUUUGAUGCUCUAGCUCAUCUCUAGCUUCAAGCAUCUUCUUUCGUAGUUGUUGAUACCAGCACGAUUAACUUGGAGCAUAUAUAUAUAUAUAUAUAUAUAUAUAUAUAUAUGGAUGAUAGCUUGAAAUCUAAAAGAAGGCAUGAAGAAACAAAUACAAAAGUUCAUGGACAAUCAAGAUGCCAUUUGGGCAAUCAAGAAGGUCCCUUGUGGGUUAUUUGUAAAAUAGUCACUUUUGAGCUGUUUUUUGUAAUAGACUAUUUCUGUAAAGACAAUGGCUAUAAAUAGUUGCUUCAUUACUUAAAUUUUGGAUGACUCAAUUGUCUUGAAAAGACUUGAUAUUUAGUUACUCUACAUUAGGUUAGUAAUUAGGUUUAAUUUCAAUUAUUAGAUUAGAUCGAGUGAUUUGGGUGGAUUCCCAAAUUGCUUGUGUUAUCUUCUUCACUUGAUUGUUCAUUGAGUUGUCAUAUUGUGGUUUCAAUUUAGUUUCUCGUGCAUUUGAUUGAGUUCUCUUUCUCCCUUGGUUUAGUUGUUGUUCAAUUAAGCCCUUCUUUCCUCACUUCUCAUCUCUUGUUUCUUAAUUAUCCUUUAAUUUUAUUGUUUAAUUCCGCAUUUUUGAUAUUGAUUUUAGUCACUCGGUUAAGAUCGUUAUCAAUUGUGACCCCCUCUCCAUGAAAUCAUAGUAUGAAUUUUCUUCUUACGGUACUUUUCCAUAUUAAUGUGGACAAUAAAGUGCCUGAAGUCCUAAAAUUCUACCAGAACUUAGUAAAUAGAGCAUUUGAGACUUCAAAUAAAGACCCCCUUCCUCAGUAGGAAGAUCUCCAAUGUCUUCUUUUCCCCUUUUCCUUAUUACUCCAAAAAACCCUAACAAAUAUUCUCUGUAUUUCAUUUUGGUAGGUGCCAUAGUAGAAAAGAGAUAAAGAGGCAUACUUUGAAGGAUAUUUUUAAUAAGAAUAGCCUUGCCUUCAUAUGAUAAAAGCUUUCCCUUCCAGUGUUGAAGUUUAACCUUGAUCUUUUUUAUAAGAUUAUUAUAAAAGGCUUUAUCUUUCUAGCAUGAAAAAUAGGACAUCCCAAGUACUUAAAAGGGAAAAGUACCUCUACAAAAACCUGUAAUCUCAGCCACCUCUUGAGCCAGAUUUUCAUCUACCCUUUGAUGCGUAUAGAAAAAAGACUUAUCAACAUUGAUCUUCUGGCCAAAAAUCUUUUCAUCAUCAUGCAGUGUUGACUUGAUCAUCACUAGUGAUUG